GGAACAGGGGACGCUGGAGGCCUUUGGGUACUUGGCCGACCCUGUGGCGAGCUCGAGUAACGUUGAGCCGUCGCAACGCGCGCAAAGGAGUGGGCACCGACGGUGCUUAAGGUACGUGCUAUCCGCUGGGUAACCAGUCUC
rnacentral:rRNA from 1 species